rnacentral:rRNA from 1 species
GCGCAGGAAAUCAUACGGAACCCUUCGGGGGGAAGUUGAUGGAAUGAGCGGCGGACGGGUGAGUAACACGUAAAGAACCUGCCCUCAGGUCUGGGAUAACCACGAGAAAUCGGGGCUAAUACCGGAUGGGUCAUCGGACCGCAUGGUCCGAGGAUGAAAGGCGCUUCGGCGUCGCCUGGGGAUGGCUUUGCGGUGCAUUAGCUAGUUGGUGGGGUAAUGGCCCACCAAGGCGACGAUGCAUAGCCGACCUGAGAGGGUGAUCGGCCACACUGGGACUGAGACACGGCCCAGACUCCUACGGGAGGCAGCAGUAGGGAAUCUUCCACAAUGGACGAAAGUCUGAUGGAGCAACGCCGCGUGAACGAUGAAGGCCUUCGGGUCGUAAAGUUCUGUUGUAAGGGAAGAACAAGUGCCGCAGGCAAUGGCGGCACCUUGACGGUACCUUGCGAGAAAGCCACGGCUAACUACGUGCCAGCAGCCGCGGUAAUACGUAGGUGGCAAGCGUUGUCCGGAAUUAUUGGGCGUAAAGCGCGCGCAGGCGGCCUCUUAAGUCUGAUGUGAAAGCCCCCGGCUCAACCGGGGAGGGCCAUUGGAAACUGGGAGGCUUGAGUAUAGGAGAGAAGAGUGGAAUUCCACGUGUAGCGGUGAAAUGCGUAGAGAUGUGGAGGAACACCAGUGGCGAAGGCGACUCUU